AGAGUUUGAUCCUGGCUCAGGAUGAACGCCGGCGGUGUGCCUAAUACAUGCAAGUCGUACGCACUGGCCCAACUGAUUGAUGGUGCUUGCACCUGAUUGACGAUGGAUCACCAGUGAGUGGCGGACGGGUGAGUAACACGUAGGUAACCUGCCUCGGAGCGGGGGAUAACAUUUGGAAACAGAUGCUAAUACCGCAUAACAACAAAAGCCACAUGGCUUUUGUUUGAAAGAUGGCUUUGGCUAUCACUCUGGGAUGGACCUGCGGUGCAUUAGCUAGUUGGUAAGGUAACGGCUUACCAAGGCAAUGAUGCAUAGCCGAGUUGAGAGACUGAUCGGCCACAAUGGAACUGAGACACGGUCCAUACUCCUACGGGAGGCAGCGGUAGGGAAUCUUCCACAAUGGGCGCAAGCCUGAUGGAGCAACACCGCGUGAGUGAAGAAGGGUUUCGGCUCGUAAAGCUCCGUUGUUGGAGAAGAACGUGCGUGAGAGUAACUGUUCACGCAGUGACGGUAUACAACCAGAAAGUCACGGCUAACUACGUGCCAGCAGCCGCGGUAAUACGUAGGUGGCAAGCGUUAUCCGGAUUUAUUGGGCGUAAAGCGAGCGCAGGCGGUUGCUUAGGUCUGAUGUGAAAGCCUUCGGCUUAACCGAAGAAGUGCAUCGGAAACCGGGCGACUUGAGUGCAGAAGAGGACAGUGGAACUCCAUGUGUAGCGGUGGAAUGCGUAGAUAUAUGGAAGAACACCAGUGGCGAAGGCGGCUGUCUGGUCUGCAACUGACGCUGAGGCUCGAAAGCAUGGGUAGCGAACAGGAUUAGAUACCCUGGUAGUCCAUGCCGUAAACGAUGAGUGCUAGUGUUGGAGGGGUUUCCGCCCCUUCAUUGCCGGAACUAACCCAUUAAGCACUCCGCCUGGGGAGGUACGACCGCAAGGGUGAAACUCAAAAGGAAUGACGGGGGGCCCGCACAAGCGGUGGAGCAUGUGGUUUAAUUCGAAGCAACGCGAAGAACCUUACCAGGGUCUUGACAUCCAGUGCAAACCUAAGAGAUUAGGUGUUCCCUUCGGAGACGCUGAGACAGGUGGUGCAUGGCUGUCGUCAGCUCGUGUCGUGAGAUGUGGGGUUAAGUCCCGCAACGAGCGCAACCCUUGUCAUUAGUUGCCAUCAUUAAGUUGGGCACUCUAAUGAGACUGCCGGUGACAAACCGGAGGAAGGUGGGGAUGACGUCAAGUCAUCAUGCCCCUUAUGACCUGGGCUACACACGUGCUACAAUGGACGGUACAACGAGAAGCGAACCUGCGAAGGCAAGCGGAUCUCUUAAAGCCGUUCUCAGUUCGGACUGUAGGCUGCAACUCGCCUACACGAAGCUGGAAUCGCUAGUAAUCGCGGAUCAGCACGCCGCGGUGAAUACGUUCCCGGGCCUCGUACAAACCGCCCGUCA
rnacentral:rRNA from 1 species